CCUACGGGGUGCACCAGUGGGGAAUAUUGCACAAUGGGCGCAAGCCUGAUGCAGCCAUGCCGCGUGUAUGAAGAAGGCCUUCGGGUUGUAAAGUACUUUCAGCGGGGAGGAAGGCGAUAAGGUUAAUAACCUUGUCGAUUGACGAUACCCGCAGAAGAAGCACCGGCUAACUCCGUGCCAGCAGCCGCGGUAAUACGGAGGGUGCAAGCGUUAAUCGGAAUUACUGGGCGUAAAGCGCACGCAGGCGGUCUGUCAAGUCGGAUGUGAAAUCCCCGGGCUCAACCUGGGAACUGCAUUCGAAACUGGCAGGCUGGAGUCUUGUAGAGGGGGGUAGAAUUCCAGGUGUAGCGGUGAAAUGCGUAGAGAUCUGGAGGAAUACCGGUGGCGAAGGCGGCCCCCUGGACAAAGACUGACGCUCAGGUGCGAAAGCGUGGGGAGCAAACAGGAUUAGAUACCCCGGUAGUC
rnacentral:rRNA from 1 species